ACCCUCUUGAAACAUACAGUACCCUCGGAAGGAAACUAGGAAAACUGUUUUGAGAAGAAAGAGCUGGGGGAGGAAAGAAUGAACGUUGCAGUGAAAUGGCUUAAUAGGCUGAAAUGGUGAAAGUGGACAACUGGACCAUCUCUUUCCCAGUCCUCCAGAGCACAGAGGAAUCUGAAUAUUGAUGCGUGCUGCCUAUAUGAAUAAAUUAAAGGGAUGGGAGAAAAAUCUGAAAUAAAGUAUUGCUUGUGA